GAUGAACGCUGGCGGCGUGCCUAAUACAUGCAAGUCGAGCGAACAGAUGAGGAGCUUGCUCCUCUGACGUUAGCGGCGGACGGGUGAGUAACACGUGGAUAACCUACCUAUAAGACUGGGAUAACUUCGGGAAACCGGAGCUAAUACCGGAUAAUAUAUUGAACCGCAUGGUUCAAUAGUGAAAGACGGUUUUGCGGUCACUUAUAGAUGGAUCCGCGCCGCAUUAGCUAGUUGGUAAGGUAACGGCUUACCAAGGCAACGAUGCGUAGCCGACCUGAGAGGGUGAUCGGCCACACUGGAACUGAGACACCGUCCAGACUCCUACGGGAGGCAGCAGUAGCGAAUCUUCCGCAAUGGGCGAAAGCCUGACGGAGCAACGCCGCGUGAGUGAUGAAGGUCUUCGGAUCGUAAAACUCUGUUAUUAGGGAAGAACAAAUGUGUAAGUAACUAUGCACGUCUUGACGGUACCUAAUCAGAAAGCCACGGCUAACUACGUG
rnacentral:rRNA from 1 species